rnacentral:piRNA from 1 species
UCUCUUCAGAGAUGGCUACAU